rnacentral:rRNA from 1 species
UAGGGAAUCUUCGGCAAUGGACGAAAGUCUGACCGAGCAACGCCGCGUGAGUGAAGAAGGUUUUCGGAUCGUAAAACUCUGUUGUUAGAGAAGAACGUUGCAUAGAGUGGAAAAUUAUGCAAGUGACGGUAUCUAACCAGAAAGGGACGGCUAACUACGUGCCAGCAGCCGCGGUAAUACGUAGGUCCCGAGCGUUGUCCGGAUUUAUUGGGCGUAAAGCGAGCGCAGGUGGUUUAAUAAGUCUGAUGUAAAAGGCAGUGGCUCAACCAUUGUGUGCAUUGGAAACUGUUAGACUUGAGUGCAGUAGAGGAGAGUGGAAUUCCAUGUGUAGCGGUGAAAUGCGUAGAUAUAUGGAGGAACACCGGUGGCGAAAGCGGCUCUCUGGACUGUCACUGACACUGAGGCUCGAAAGCGUGGGUAGCAAACAGGAUUAGAUACCCUGGUAGUCCACGCCGUAAACGAUGAGUGCUAGUUGUUUGG